CGGGAUGUAGCUCAGUUUGGUAGAGCGCUUGGUUUGGGACCUGGGGAUCGCAUGUUUAAAAUCGUGUUGUCCCAA
rnacentral:tRNA from 1 species